UCUGAGCAGAAAACGGGGCAGGGGUGGCAUGGGGAGCUGUGUGAGACUUCUUCGCAGGUCACCGAGGAGAUGCCAUUCUCCAAAUCUCUUUCAGCCUCUUGCUUCAUCCUGCUGACUACAUCUGUCCCCAGCACUGCCCCCUCCCCAGCUCAGAUUGCAGUCUUCACGCAAAUUUAUGUAAAGCAGAUGCAAAUGCCCUAUGGUUCUGUGGGUGCUGUAGCCUGAGGGCAUUAAAGGGACUCUGGUUUGCUUCUGGUAUUUUUUUAAAUACACUUUAUUGUCAAAUUGGCGACCACACAGUGAGUACAGUGUGCUCUCGGUUUGGGGGGUAGAUUCCUGUGAUUCAUCGCUUACAUGCAACACCCAGUGCUCGUCCCAACAACUGCCCUCCUCGAUGCCCAUCACCCACUUUCCCCUCUGCCCCGCCCUCCGAUCCACCCUCAGUUUGUUCUCUGUAUUUGAGUCUCUUAUGGUUUGCCUCCCUCCCUCUCUGUAACUACUUUUUUUUCCCCUUCCUUUCCCCCAUGGGAUGCAAACUGGUGGAGCCGCUCUGGAAAACAGUGUGGAGGUUCCUCAAAAAAUUAAAAAUAGAACUACCCUAUAACCCAGCAAUAGCCCUGCUAAGAAUUUACCCUAGGGAUACAGAAGUGCUGAUGCAUAAGGGCACAUGUACCCCAAUGUUUAUAGCAGCACUUUCAACAAUAGUCAAAUGAUGGAAAGAGCCUGAAUGUCCAUCCACUGACGAAUGGAUAAAGAAGAUGUGGUUUAUAGACACGAUGGGAUACUGCUUGGCGAUGAGAAAGAAUGAAAUCCGGCCAUUUGCAGCAACGUGGAUGGAACCGGAGGGUGUCAUGCUGGGUGAAGUAAGUCAGUCAGAGGAAGACAGUGUUCACAUACGUUUGGUACAUUAACUAAAGUCAGAGGAUCAUGAAAACUGUUCUCUCUAGAGAAGCCACAUGAAGAUAAUGGACACGUGAUCGUACCAGUCCCUUCAGCUGACCUGUCAUCAGUUUCUUGAAGAAUCUGGCUGUUUUCUCUUUGCACCAAGCUCUGAACACGACAGCAGACAGUGGGAUGAGCAUAAGGAGUGCUCCACGGUGGUAAUUCCGCACUGGACCAGGGCCUGGCCUUGGAGCAGAUUAGGGCUUUUUAACCAGGGGACUGCAGGCCUCUCGACCCUUAGUGAGUUCAGCUCUCGGCCUGCUCUAGACAAAAUCAGAAAUGCGACGGUUCUGCGACCACUAUAGGACAUCGAAUCAGCACUUACAAAUGAGCCUCAAGAAAGCAUGGAGCUGAGAUGGCUUUCCUGGUGGCAGCUACCAUUCAAGGAACAGAGAAGUCCUGGGACACAACUCAUCCAGAGAGUGGAAAGAGGGAAGCUCCCCAACUCGUUUAAUGAGGCCAGCAAAACAUUGAUACCCUAAGUCGGUUUAUUAUUAAUCUGGCCGGUAGCAGUGAUGGCAAGGGCAUCCUAGCGUGUGAGAAAGAAAACACACAGGCCCAUCUUGUUAUUAAUAUAUAAACACAAAAAUGUGAAACACAGUAUUGGCCAGAUCCGGCGAUGCACGGGAAAGAUAACCCAUCAGGGCCAUGUUGGAUUACUCCUAGGAAUGCAAGAUGAAUGUAACAGGGGGAAAACUGAUGAAUGUAAUUUGCUUUAUGAACAGAAUAAAAGCAAAAAUCUAUUGCAAAUAAAAGCCUCCUGAAAAAAUUCACAGCCUUUCUUAUGGAAACUCUCAGGACAGGAAACCAAGAGUAGAAGCAAACUUCCUUAGUCUCAUAGAAGACGUUUGUGAAAAACCUACGAUAAAUCGCAUACUUAACGGUGAGAUGUUGCAAACAUCCCCUUUCAGGCCAGGAACAAGACCUUCUCGAAGACCCUUCCACCGUGAUCCCUUCUCCCAUCUCCCCGCUGCCAGGAUCACACUCCCUUCGCAAUUCUCCCAGAGCGCUUUGUCUACACCUCUAGAGGGACCGGC